rnacentral:lncRNA from 1 species
AUAUCAGGAUGGGCUUUGGGAAUUGGUGGAAGUGUAAGGAUAGGUUCAAUUGGAUUUGGUGGAAGAGAAAGGGUGGAUUUAGAUGUAUGAAGGAUGAAAGGGUUUGGGCAGGUGUUUUUAGAAAGGUGAGGGGGCGAUAGGGUUGGAGAGGAGCGGGAGCGCUUAAGAGAAGGACGAGGUGGGGGCUCUGGGGUGGAGGCUAAAGUCAACUGAUAGUUUAAAUGAGCAGGAGAGAAAUCAGUGGGCAGAUUGAUUAAAGCAUCAAACUGAGAGGAAGUUGAGAUGGGGGGAUUCAAAGGCUUGGUCUGAAUGGAUUUUUGGACAAAGACAGCAGAUUUUUUUGUUUGGUUUUUAGCUGGCAAGGGACGAGGAUUCUUUGAGGAAGAGGUGAAGGGAGUUUUUUGGAGGGGAGGAGCUGGAUGGGUGGUUUUCUGAGGAGUUGGAAGGGGAGGGGGAGGAGGGGUAUAGAGGAGACGGUUUCGGACAAUAUGCCCAAGCUCAUGGUAAUGGGAACAGGUUGGGGGGGUCCAGGGGUAAGUGACUUGGACUUCAACUACCUCACCGCUCUGGUGCUCAAA